GGUGAAAAAAUCCGGAAAUUCAAAAGACACACUUAUAAUUAGAUAAAUAUUAAGUUAUUUACUUAGUUCAAUCUUUAUUUUGUUUAAUUAUGAUUAACAGUGCAAUACCGUUAGUACUAGGAAUAUGUGCCGCUGUUUUCAUAGCUAUUGCAGCAUUUAUACCUGGAUGGUUUGUCGUGGAGUACCCAACUGCAAGUCACCGUCUUUAUUUUAGCUUAUUUUAUGGAUUAACAUGUUCAACAUCGUGUCAACUAUCUACUUAUUAUGAAAUAUACCAGUACAAUAACAGACAAAGUUCAACAAUUUUUUGGAUGAUAGAAUUUCAAGUGGAGGUGAUGUUGUCCGUUGUAAUUUGUACAAUAGGUGUUAUCAUUCUGUUUGUAUACCGUAAAGGCGACAGAACCCACAGAUUACUACUGGCUACAGUUAUAUUGUUUGUUAUUGGAGGAUUACUCAUACUGGUUGCUUGUGGAAGAAUUUUAACCGCAACACUAACCGCCAACAAGAACCUGCAUACCAAAAAUGCAGAUCACUAUUAUGAUUUCCCCUUUUCCUUGGUACCCGCCGGAAUAGGAGGAAUCGUACAAAUAGUAACCGCAGUUCUGGUACAUCUUAUUAGGGGAGAGGUCAUUAAAGGAAACAAUCCUGACACGUUUGCAUUUUACAGAUCAUAAAUAUUUCAGCUAAA